rnacentral:rRNA from 1 species
UACAGAGGUGGCAAGCGUUGUUCGGAAUUACUGGACGUAAAGGGCGCGUAGGCGGCCAUCUAAGUCAGACGUGAAAUCCCCCGGCUUAACCUGGGAACUGCGUCUGAUACUGGACGGCUCGAGUUUGGGAGAGGGAUGCAGAAUUCCAGGUGUAGCGGUGAAAUGCGUAGAUAUCUGGAGGAAUACCGGUGGCGAAGGCGGCAUCCUGGACUAACACUGACGCUGAGGCGCGAAAGCUAGGGGAGCAAACGGG